rnacentral:rRNA from 1 species
UAGAGUUUGAUCCUGGCUCAGAUUGAACGCUGGCGGCAGGCCUAACACAUGCAAGUCGAGCGGAAACGACAACAUUGAAUCUUCGGAGGAUUUGUUGGGCGUCGAGCGGCGGACGGGUGAGUAAUGCCUAGGAAAUUGCCUUGAUGUGGGGGAUAACCAUUGGAAACGAUGGCUAAUACCGCAUAAUGCCUACGGGCCAAAGAGGGGGACCUUCGGGCCUCUCGCGUCAAGAUAUGCCUAGGUGGGAUUAGCUAGUUGGUGAGGUAAUGGCUCACCAAGGCGACGAUCCCUAGCUGGUCUGAGAGGAUGAUCAGCCACACUGGAACUGAGACACGGUCCAGACUCCUACGGGAGGCAGCAGUGGGGAAUAUUGCACAAUGGGCGAAAGCCUGAUGCAGCCAUGCCGCGUGUAUGAAGAAGGCCUUCGGGUUGUAAAGUACUUUCAGUUGUGAGGAAGGGUGUGUAGUUAAUAGCUGCGCAUCUUGACGUUAGCAACAGAAGAAGCACCGGCUAACUCCGUGCCAGCAGCCGCGGUAAUACGGAGGGUGCGAGCGUUAAUCGGAAUUACUGGGCGUAAAGCGCAUGCAGGUGGUUCAUUAAGACAGAUGUGAAAGCCCGGGGCUCAACCUCGGAACUGCAUUUGAAACUGGUGAACUAGAGUGCUGUGGAGGGGGGUAGAAUUUCA